rnacentral:rRNA from 1 species
UGGGGAAUAUUGGACAAUGGGCGAAAGCCUGAUCCAGCAAUACCGCGUGUGUGAAGAAGGCCUUAGGGUUGUAAAGCACUUUCAAUUGGGAGGAAAACCUACCGGUCAAUACCCGGUAGCUUGACAUUACCUUUAGAAGAAGCACCGGCUAACUCCGUGCCAGCAGCCGCGGUAAUACGGAGGGUGCAAGCGUUAAUCGGAAUUACUGGGCGUAAAGCGUGCGUAGGCGGNUCGUUAAGUCAGAUGUGAAAGCCCUGGGCUCAACCUGGGAACUGCAUUUGAAACUGGCGNACUAGAGUUUAGUAGAGGGGAGUGGAAUUUCAGGUGUAGCGGUGAAAUGCGUAGAUAUCUGAAGGAACACCAGUGGCGAAGGCGACUCCCUGGACUAGAACUGACGCUGAGGUACGAAAGCGUGGGUAGCAAACAGGAUUAGAUACCCUGGUAGUCCACGCCGUAAACGAUGUCGACUAGCCGUUGGUCUUNUUUACAGGAUUAGUGGCGCAGCUAACGCAUUAAGUCGACCGCCUGGGGAGUACGNCGGCAAGGUUA